AUUCCAUGGUGUGGACAUUCCCUCUGUUGGUCUUUAUAUCUUUCCCAUGCAUCAUAGAGUGAUUCUCCUUCCUUUUGUUAGAAGGUUUUGAGCUCAAGCCUCAGUUU